rnacentral:lncRNA from 1 species
UUUUUAAGUAGUUUAUUUUUCAGAGCAUUGCCUUUAUUUAUGACUUAGGUAAAACACAAAACACAAGAAAUCAGAAGCUAAGAACAAGGCUUUUUCUUGAAAAACAAAUAAAUACAUAAACCCCACAAGUAUUAAUCACAUGCUAAAAUCAAGUAAAAUGCCAGAUAAUUUGCACAUUAAAAAUAAACUGCCUGAACCAUACCCUUUAAAAAUAGCCUAAUUCAAGCCCUAAAUCCACUCGCCAUGAAUUAGACACACAGGGUCAACAUCAAAGAGGUUGCUGCCU